rnacentral:rRNA from 1 species
GACGAACGCUGGCGGCGCGCCUAACACAUGCAAGUCGAACGGAGUCAAGAGGAGCUUGCUUUUCUUGACUUAGUGGCGAACGGGUGAGUAACGCGUGAGUAACCUGCCCUGGAGUGGGGGACAACAGUUGGAAACGACUGCUAAUACCGCAUAAGCCCACGGAUCCGCAUGGAUCUGCGGGAAAAGGAUUUAUUCGCUUCAGGAUGGACUCGCGUCCAAUUAGCUAGUUGGUGAGGUAACGGCCCACCAAGGCGACGAGUGGUAGCCGGACUGAGAGGUUGAACGGCCACAUUGGGACUGGGACACGGCCCAGACUCCUACGGGAGGCAGCAGUGGGGGAUAUUGCACAAUGGGGGAAACCCUGAUGCAGCGACGCCGCGUGGAGGAAGAAGGUUUUCGGAUUGUAAACUCCUGUCGUUAGGGACGAUAAUGACGGUACCUAACAAGAAAGCACCGGCUAACUACGUG